rnacentral:ncRNA from 1 species
UCAAAGUUUUAUUCUUGCUUAUUUAUUCACUUUUUCUUUGUAUUAUAUGCAAGUUUUGUAAUACUAAAUGUUCUUUUUGCAGUAAUUUGAUUUGAUUAUUAAGUUAUCUUUGAAUUAGCAAUUGAUUAAGUAUUGGCAUAAUUCGUGCCAGCAGCCGCGGUUAUACGAUUGAUGCAAGUGAAUAUUAUUGGUUUAAACAGUUAUUUAUAAUUUUUAGGGUUUAAUUAGAAAUUUAUAAGGUGAAAUUUGAUUUUUUUAUUUAUCCCUUUAUACGAUUCUGUGAAAUUUAAAUAAUAAACUAGGAUUAGAUACCCUAUUAUUUUAAACGUUAAUUUUUCUUACCUGGGUACUAUUAGUUAAGAUCUUUAAACCCAAAGAAUUUGGCGGUAUCUCAAUCCAUUCAGAGGAACCUGUCCCGUGAUUGAUAAUACACGAUUAAUUUUACUUUAUUUAUUUGUUUGUAUAUCUCCGUUAUCAGAAAAUCUUUUUAGAGUUAUAAUUUUCUUAAUUUAUGAUUGUAAAGUAUUUCAGGUCAAGGUGCAGCUUAUAAUAAAGAGGUGAUGGGUUACAAUAAAUUUUUGUUUAUAUGGAUUUAUUUCUGAAAUGUUUUAAUGAAGGUGGAUUUGAUGGUAAUUUAAUUAAUUUAGUUUAAUUGAUAUUGGCUCUGAGAUGUGUACACAUCGCCCGUCGCUCUCAUUAUUGGAUGUUUGAUGAUUCAAGUUAGAUGAGAUAAGUCGUAACAUAGUAGAUGUACUGGAAAGUGUAUCUAGUAAGAUUUU